CAAAUGUACAACGCCCAACGCGUGUGUGCUGUGUGACAGAGACCUCCAAGGGCCAUUUUGUAAUGUAACAAAGACGAUGACUAUCUUUCCACCGUCUCCACCAGCCAAAAACCACCCUUUGAAUGAUUCAGACAUUGCAAUAAAACUGAUGUGGAGUCUGGAGCAGCUGUUGGCAUUUCCUUGGGAAUAAUAUUCUCAGUUCUCAUUCUCCUCCUCAUUAUAUGCGUAUUGGUAUACACGGACGGAAUUAAAAAAAUCCGUCGAGUGUUUGAUCCGGCAUAUAAGACAAAUCGCAAACCCCAUCAGGAACCUCUGUAUCACCACGAUGAAUUAGGUAGUCCAACUAUCAGCAGAAGUCAUCUGAAACUAAAUGAACAUACAGACAGAAAAUAGAGUGAAGGGCAUUUCUUGAGGAGAUAAUAUGGACCAUUUGAGGUAAACAACGAAAGGCUUGACCAUGAAGACGGACCUCAAAA